ensembl:lncRNA
AUCGUCGUCCCGUCUCCGUGGGUUACAGCAGGAGCAAACAGACGGUUUACCUGCAGAGGAAACGAGACAUGGGACAGGUGAGGGAGACGAAGCUGACUCAGAGUGACAUCAGAACGUGAUGUACGCCCACAUCAGAGCUCAGCACAGACAGCAGCAUCAUUGACUCAAUGAAGGGAUUUUAUCCUGUUCCACUCGUGUCACACAUGACCAGCUCCUGUACUUUGAUUGGCUCCGGUUCAUCAAAUCGAACCAUGUGACUCCCUGCUGACACCCACAGGUGACCUGCAGAGGUGACAGACUUCCAUGCGUGACUUCAUCCUCCAGCAUGACCCCCACAGUCGUGUACUGUGCCAAAAUCAGACUCAGCACAAGGGGGCGCUAUAGCUGCCCUCACAGCAAACAAUGACUUUGUCAUGAUACCGCAGAUAGAGACAACUAUUUAUUACUGUGACAACACAACAACUCGUGAUGAGUUUCAGUGCACACGCCCUCCAUCCAAGAACGAAACAGGUGUGUUUGCUCUCAGUGAAACUGUGUGUUAAGCCCCGCCCCCGGCUGCGUGUAAGUGAAAGCGAAAGUUCGGGGAGCUGUCCGGACGCAGACGUCGAGCUUCUCUUCUGUCUCUGCGCGUUUUUCAGCUCGGUUCCGACCUCGGUUCCUCAGAGGGGGCAGAUAUUUGUCCUGUGAAGCCGGAGGACCCCGCCUGCUGUCCCGCCGUCCUCGCAGCAGCAGCAUGCCGGACGUCAGGCUGUGCCUGGAGGCCGUCUCCGCGCUCCUGGGCUGCAGAGCCGAAGCGACAACCGGAAGCUCCCAGUUCACCCCGCAGGACCUGGUCAACGUCGUGGCCCUCAAAGAGUUUUACAAGCAGGAGGGCUUUAAGGAGCUGGAGUACCCCAGCUUGGGGACGCUGUCUCUGCACGACUUAGACGAAGCCGACAUGUACAGCUCGCCCCCGGCCCUGGACGCGCCUCCCGAGAGCUUCCAGCUCACUGUGGAAAUCAACACGGAGAACUUCUUCCACCCUCAGUACGACUACGACUUCACCAACGUAAAGGAUGGAGAUAAGAAGUUCACGCGUGGUAACGAGCAGUACAUCCGCCCCUGCGGGUGGAACCGCGCCGCCCUGCGGGUCGUGCAGAAGUACAGCGAUGGGGACAAGUGGCUGGGGACGGGGCAGGACGCCUGGCCCGUGUCCUACCAGGGGAAAGACAUGGACGGCUCCCUCAUCCUGACCCACGGCGGCAAGCCCGACGACCAGCCACAGUUUCUGGAUGCCGCCGCCGCCUCUUUGUUAACGGAAGGGACGAAGGGCCGAGGGGUGUACUCCACGCCGGACAUCAGGAUCGCAGAGAAGUACUGCAAGAAGUUCAAGUCCAGAGUGGACGGGAAGACGUACCAGGUGGUCCUCCAGAACCGCAUAAACCCGGAGAAAAGGAAGUCGUGCCAGAGGCAAGACGUCUGGGUGGUGUACAUCCCCGAGGACACCAGCGACGUGAGGGUGAGGGCCAUCGUGCAGGAGUCCAUCCGCCCGUACGGGCUGCUGCUGAAGCAGGUGUGAUGCAGCUGGAACGACCUGCCGUCACUUCAGCUUCACGAUUUUCACAUUGUUAACAAAAAACUGAGAACAUGCUUCAAAUUCCCAACGGUGGGACUAAUAAAGGUAUCUUAUCUUAUGCUUGCUCCGCGCUCGUGGCAGGACGAGCUCCUGAAAGCUCUUUAUUGGGAGGGUGUGGAAUAAUAAACCAGUAUCGUCUCUUUAUCCUCACAGUUUAGUAAAAGUACGGCCGUCUGAUCAAACCUCGCUGAACCGCGCUGCCUUUCAGUCUCCUCACAGCUCCAAUCACAACAUUAGAUCCAAACCACCCAUGAAUAAGCCUUCAUCUCAAACACAGGAGGAGGGACGCGUGCAGCGCGGUUAGCGGCGUCCUGCCUCACGCUGCGAUCCUUUCGCUCGGUGUCAGAGUUGGAGGUCAGACCUCUGAGUCCCAAACUUCUUCACAUUCCUAGUUUUUAAGCCUCGAUAGUGAGGCGGGGUCAGAGGGCAGACCCCGUCAGUCACAGGUGAGCGCACACCGGCUUUAAGAUUUUACUAAUUAAACUUCACGUUGUUAUUUUUAAUAAGACUUGAACCUAAUGAGCUCAGGAUAACUUGCUCGCUGCAGUCUAAGAGACGAUAGAUCGUUAUUGUCACAGUUACCAUGAAACACUGACAGCUGCUGCCCCCUGCUGGUCCCAGCAACCACUGCAGGCUUCAGAGCUACAUCCAGGUGUGUUUCCAGUACAGGCUGAGGGUGGUCUGCAGAGACGCUGAAAGUGGCGUUAGAUUGAAUUCUCGUCCUGUUUUCCUUCCUGUCUGAUCAGCAGCACUGGAUCCACUCUUUUCUUUGAUGAUCAGAGAAGGAGAUGAUUUUGCUUCAGUCUUGUUCUUAUUUGAAAAGGUUGCUGUGAGGUGUGACGCCACAGGUCUGAUGUUUUUCAUGGCAUCGUUUCAAAUGUAAGAAUGGAAAUGAUAAAGAAUCUCUUAUAUUUAGCUUGUGCGGGGUCUCCACGCUGCCACCAGCUGUGAGAACAGAUGUUUUCCUUGUACAUGUGAAUUUGAUUUGCUUGAAUGGAAUUAAACAGAGCGCACUCAUCUGUGUGUGAAGCCUCUUUUUAUGAUAUUUAUAAAUCUGAAAACCAGGGGUGUCAAACAUAAGGGCCGGGGCCCAGAAUCGGCCUGGCAAAGACGCCAGUCCGGCCCCCUGGAGGGUCUGGAAACGUGAAAAAUGAUUAACUGAAGUUUAACAGCUUUCCCUUUAAAUAAAGAGACCCACACUCGUGGAUCCUUCCAGAACAAAAGUGUUUGUUUGACCGAGCUGGUAAAACCUGUUCACGCAGGACGCUGUCACCGCGAUCACACACCUGACCUACACAGCUGCCACACAUCGUUUUCAUUUUUAAGCUUCAGUUAGGUUUCAUUCUGCAGGAUUUGUUAUUAGCUCUCCAUCUGCAUCCUAAUCAGAACCACUGUGACGGUGUUAGCGUGACAUUUAAACACUACAUUUGUGUCAGUACUGCAAACACCUGUGGAAGCAUCGUGUUUGUCAGACUCCACAGACUCGUGUCCCGACAUACAACAAACCUGUAAUAUUCAUAUACGCACCUUUGAACAUAGACAGGAAGUUAGACUCACAUCACAUCAUGAAUGAAGGGGCUUCAUUACCGCACGCUGUUGAUAUGUUUGUUCAUUACCUGCAGACUCAGUGUGAACUGUUUUAUGGGCAGAGUGCUGUAACUCCUGCCCACCACCAGAGGGCAGCGCGGCUCCAAGUAAAAGUGCAACAAUCCCACCUGAACUUUGACCUCAGAUAAACUGAGCUUGACAAACGUGCCACGGCUGAGCUGAGGAAGCAUUAUGGGACACGUGAAACACACCUGACCACAGGUAGCAUCCAGCCACGCAGACGAAGCAGAAGGCGAGCAGCGUAGGCAGAAGGCAGAGCCCCAGACUCAAACACGGCUGCCUCAUCCGGUCUGUGGACGACCGCCCGGCACCUCCUGCAAACACACAAUCACACACACCAUCAUUUAUUCUGCUUCUUUUCACAUCGUUGUGCCAGCCGUAUAAACCCACACACCGGCUCCCUGUGUGGGUUUGAAAGGUUUCACACUGGUUACAGGAAACUCAUAACUGGAGGAAAAAUGAGCUGCGGCGGUGCCGUGGGGGCGGAGACUCGUCUUUACAGGUCAGCGGGAAAUCCUAAAGAGGCCUUGGUGGUGUUUCAUAGAGAGAACAUUAAAGCUUCUCCUGUGAUAAAACCAACCACGAGUGACGCUCAGCUGAGCGCCCGACUAUCAAGAGACAAUACAUAAAAAUAUAUCAAACUCAAAACAAUUAAAUACGUAAAAACUCAGAUCAAUAGAAUAAAAAUAGAAUAUAACGUACUUUUAUUUCCAGUACAUCCUGAUGUGACGUCUCACUGCAGUUUCUUUCACACCUUCGUUCCAACGACACAAACUAUUAAAGGUGUCGGCACGCACACGGAAACCGCCGUGUGUUCAGCUGCUCGGCUGCAGACGCGUGGACGCGCGGUGACAAGAUUCAGGGGGGGUGACGACUCACCCCACUCGUUUUUCCACACGUGUGUGACGUGUAGCAUGUUUGUCACAAAAUGUCCGUUCAUGGAACGCAGAGAGCCCCGGGGCCCCCGAGGGGCCCCCUGCCUCCGUUCUGCUGUGGGGGGCAGCUUGCUGUCCCAUCAGCUGAUCAACAACACAAACAUCCUAGAACAGAAA